AUUGAACGCUGGCGGCAUGCUUUACACAUGCAAGUCGAACGGUAACAGGUUAAGCUGACGAGUGGCGAACGGGUGAGUAAUGCAUCGGAACGUGCCCGAUCGUGGGGGAUAACGCAGCGAAAGCUGCGCUAAUACCGCAUACGAUCUGAGGAUGAAAGCGGGGGACCGUAAGGCCUCGCGCGAUCGGAGCGGCCGAUGUCAGAUUAGGUAGUUGGUGGGGUAAAGGCUCACCAAGCCAACGAUCUGUAGCUGGUCCGAGAGGACGACCAGCCACACUGAGACAGAGACACGGCACAGACUCCUACGGGAGGCAGCAGGGGGGAAUUUUGGACAAUGGGCGAAGGCCUGAUCCAGCAAUACCGCGUGCAGGAAGAAGGCCGUCGGGUUGUGAACUGCUUUUGUACGGAGCGAAAAGGCUCUCUCUAAUACAGGGGGCUCAUGACGGUACCGUAAGAAUAAGCACCGGCUAACUACGUGCCAGCCGCCGCCGUAA
rnacentral:rRNA from 1 species